rnacentral:rRNA from 4 species
CCGCGACCCCAGGUCAGGCGGGACUACCCGCUGAG